CUGCUUUGUUUCUUUUGGGUCACAAGCUCUGGGGGGAAGCCAGCUACCAUGUUAUGAGGACACUCAAGCAACCCUGUGAAGAGGUCCAUGUGGUUAAGAACUGAGACUUCCUGCCAACAAACAUGUUGAGCCUGUUUCCUUAUUUAUAAAAUGUCCACAAAGUCUUAAUUUCAACUUUUUUCACUUUAAACGCUGGAAGAAGAUUGAAAAUGGCAACUGGUAUAUCAUAAAAUGACACAGGACCCUUCAGAAAAGUGGGGAGGUAUUUAUAUCUCAAGUCAGCACUAUAUAAACAUCUAUGGAAGCCAACAACAUUGUAUGUCCUCUAAGUAUUUCAUGGAAGCAAUGGAGUUCCUGCUGGGACAUGGUCUUGCCAAGCCCCCUAGAGCCCCAAACAUUGCCUUUUCAAAGACUCUUCUCUCUACUGCCUCGGGCCACGUUCUGUCAGAAAGCUGCCUUCUUCAAACAGGUCACUAAGUGUGACCCCAAAGAAAAAGCACAUCGAGAUAUCCAUCCAACUCUCAAAAGCUUCACUUGUACUCUGUGACCAAAGAGCCUUCUUCCCGUGGUGUAUAUGAGAGAAGAGAAGAGCAUUUCAGAAACCACACUUGAGGCCAUUGCAGAGUGAAAGAGGCAAAAGGCGUCAGGCGGGUUUCCAGAUUUCUCUCUGGCCCAGAUUAUCUAGAUUUACAUCCAGCCUCUGGGACAGUUUAUCCAAAAGCUGUUAGAAUGAUUUGGGUUUCACACAGAGUUAUAAAAACAUAGCAUGAGCCUAAUGUCUUUAUUUCCUAUGAAGUCUUGUUGAGGGAAAGUGAAGCAUAUUUGUGUCCCAAAGCCUGGAGACAUAGGGCCAUAAUGGGGAAAUAUGGAGGUCACUCACCAAGACCAGAUAGUAACAAAAAAUAAUCCCCUCCCUUUUUUUUCACGUUCAUUUAUGUAAGUUGGUCAAACUGGCAUCUACUCACCAGGAGAUUUUUAGAUCUGAGAGAUAUGGAAUAAUCUUUCUUCAAAUGCUACCCCUGUUCCUAUGAAAUCCUUCUGUCCUUAGAAAACAUCCAGUCAAAAAAAUUAAUAAGGCUAUUGAAGGAACCAAGGGUGCAGCAAGGCUCAUUGUAUCAGAGACUAAGAAGGUUCACAUAAGUCUUAGAUCUGCAAGGUGUAUUGGUCAGAUUCCAACUGCAAUACUUCUGUGUAGUAAAUUAUCAAAAUCUCAGUAACAUAAAACAAUUAUUAAUGUUUUCUUAGUCAUAAGACUGCAGAUCAGUGAGAGAAGCUUGGCUCCAAGAGGCCAGUGGGCUCAGGUUUCCUGCAUCUGUGUCGCAUCCUGGGACUAAUGAUGGCCAAGGACAUAAUCUUUUCAUAGUGGUUGCAGAAGCUCAAGAAGGACAGGAAGGAACAUGCAAUGAUUCUUAAGGCCUGGGCUCUGAACUGGUGCACUGUCACUUCUGCCCCAGGUCAUUGGCCAAAGUAUCUCAUACUGUCAGGCCCAAAGUCAGUUGGGUGAAGAAGUAAAGACCAUUCACCUUGACUCAUAGCAAGAGUGGGAAGGAAGUAGGAGUUAUGAGAGGAGAAUAAGUUCACCCCACAGGGUACCUCAGGCAAUGUCCGCCUAAGAGGAUCAAUAUAAGUCCUACUUUCUUGGUACCUUGGGUGGCAUUACAUAGUCUAGCCAGAUGACCUACAACUGAGGUGAGGUUGUAUAUUAAAAAUUCCAAUCUCAGCAGCCUGACAUGCAGCUCAGGCUUAUGAGAAACUUCUUCGGGAAAUGCUAUUGCUCUGAGUUAUCCUCCAUACCAAGGUAUAAGCAGUGACUAACCAGGCAUUUUUAUGGCAUGCAAAGCUACUAUAUUGAUUACAAGAUAAUAGAGAUUAUGGAAAAUUUUCCCCAGUGACAAUUUGGGAAUUGUAAUAUACCUAACAAAUAGAGCCUGCUCAUGAGAGGAAAUUAUCUUGGACUCCUAAGAGUGAUUGAAAUGAGAAAGACUUGCAUUUGAGGAGCACUGAAGAAUUUGAAAGCAAGCCUACAUCUCCAGACUUGAUGCUCCCCACCAGGCCCGCUCCCUACUCGUGGAUCAGCUGAGAGCAGGCACACAGACAGAGAUGCCACAUGGCAUGAUCAGCACUGGAAGCUGGCUUUUCCCCUCUCAUCCUAUCAUUUUGGUGUAAUAAUAAUGCAAUGCAUUUUGGAUUUGAUGCAAAUGGCAUUUGCAUUUUGAUACUCACUCCUUGGUUUUCCUCUCACAAACUUGUUUAUAAGGAUUUCCUUCCAGAGUGACAGUGAUUGGCCAACCCCCUGCUACUCAGUGGCUUAUCGACCAUUGACUUGACUCUGCAACCAUAGACUCACGUCUUAGCACAGAUCAAGUGGACUGGGGGUCUAGUGUGUGGCUGCCAUGUGUCAUCCACAUGGCUUUGGGCUUGUUGGCAAGCCACCACUUCAGCCUCUCCAAGGAGGAAGUAUCUUCAUUAGAAUGUCCAUGAGAGAUCAGUGGACAUGGACAGGGAUGGAGCAUUGAGGACACAGAGAAACAAGAAGUGUCUGUCCCUGUGAAGCUGCAGUCUAGUGGAACAUACUGAGGCAAAAUUUAAAAAGAAUGUGACAAGGAAGCAGACAAUCAAUCUACAUCCUGGAUCCAAGGACUCUUGAAGAAAACAAAACCACUGGUUUUGGCCAGUUUUGAGGGGUCAUAGCAACAGAGACACACAAUCUGUAUAGUGGCUUCUUCAGGAGACUGUGGCGAUCCCUCCUGGCUGGGACACCAGAUGGCCUCACAGUGUGGUUGCAGCCAGCAGUACCAGCAUCUGCUGAAAUUUGUUAAGAAACGCAAAUUACCGGGCCUUGCCCAGCCAUGAGGCUUCAUACAGCAUGAAACACGAAUACAAUGCAAUUACCGAUUCUGCAUUUAAUAGUAAACAUCUGGCAAUGAAGAGCUUUAUGAGGAUAAUCCUAUUGGGUCUUCUCAACAACCUUGGGAUAUUUCUCUAACCUUCUCCGGUUCUCCUUCAUGCCUGGAUAUAAAGACCUUACUACUGAUGGAAAGAUUAUCUUGGGAAACGUUGGCCCAAACUCAACGCUUUUUCCAAACAUCUGGUCUCAUUUCCUUCUGCUGGGCAAAUAGAUACCCUGGCGGAAUUCCAGUGCAGGACCCUCCAUGCAGGUACUCCUGGUGGAUCUGGUUUAGUAUAAGGGCAUCGGGAGCAGGCUCUUCUACAGUGCCAUGCCUUUGGUCUAGAAUGCUCUCAGAUUCUGCUACUGACAUGUCAGUGAAGCAAAAGGCCCCGGAAAACAACCUCUCUGCUUCAUGGGAAUUGCCAGUUGUAAAUGAACUUAGAUUACAGCAGGACUUCGAUGAGAAAGGUGAUGCAGAAGAGCAGAUGGGGUGGAAGCAGAAAAGGCAUGUUCAGAUUCGAUUGUAUCCACAGUAAGGACUGCUGAGCCCAACCAGAUGCUGAAAUCCAUCCCAGGGAUAAGGAAGCCAAGACCCCUCCUGGCUGGUCCUGUGGGAGCCCCCUCUGGGUUCACAGACCCAGCCAGCCUGUAUCAAUGCCAAGGAUCUACUGCAUACAAGUCAUGGCUCUGUAUAUAGAUAUCUCUGAGAGAUAGUUACAAGAAGCUGGACUCUGUUCUAUCAACAUGUGCUUCCAAGGUCCUCUUAUUUGAGCAGAACUUUUCAUGGAGCCUGAAAUGGAACCUUCUGGAAAGGGAGCUGUCUCUUUUGGGGGAGUUCGGGUCAGCCUUGGUUGAAUAGCUCCAAGAGCCAUGGUGGCCUGUUGUAAGAGGACUCCUUAAACAAAGAGUCCUAGUGCUAGGUGGAAAUAAACUGUAGCUUGAUCUGGAACCACCUGGAAGACACGCAGGCUGAGCAACUGGGCAUCAAGCUUGUCAAAAGAACAAAAUCCAAACAAGCUCCAUUUGGAGAGUGCAACCACCUUAUUAUCCUAGAGGCAAUUUAACAUCUGGAGACCCAAACGAAAUUGGGGGAAGGAGAAACUGUCAAUUGCAUAAAAAAAGAAGCAGCAUAAAGGGGUCUGCCUUUACUUUCUUGUCUGGGCUGUUUAUAUCAUCCAUCUUGACUUUAACCUUGUCUUUGAGCCCCACUCACAUCAGGCCUUGGACAAACCUAUAAACUUAAUGAGAAAAAUUCUGAGAGUUGGUGAAAGCAACAUACAUAGAAGUAGGGGCAAAUGGCUAUGACACAAAACCUCAUAUUUGGCAAAAGCUCAGAUGACAAGCGCUGGCAUGUGUAACUUCCUGGCCUCAAACUGAGAUGGGGAAAUGAAAGGAACCCCAUUAAAAAAAAAAAAAAAAAAAGCUGUUUUUUUUUUCCUUUUUUUCUUUUUUUUUCCUGCUUCUCUUCUUGCUAGACCGUGUAUCCCUGCCUUACACACAGCUUAAUGUCCUCCUUAUAAGGGACAAAGAGUUAUUGGUAUCUUUGGAGUUUCCCAGCACAAUAGGUAAUAUCUCAACCAUUGGUGCUAGACAUCAUGAUGCCAAAAGACCCCAGCUUCAAGGAAUAAACGACUUGUGAUGGAUACCUGGACCUUGUCCUUGUUCUAAUCAGUUCUUGGAUAUAUGAGAGGACAAUAAAAACCUUUAAUAAAAACCUGCAGAUCCCGGGAUCCCU